rnacentral:rRNA from 1 species
AUCUAAGGCCAUACCACCCUGAACGUACUCAAUCUCAACUGAUCUCGGAAGCUAAGCAAGGUAGGGGUUUGUUAGUACUUGGAUGGGAGACCGCUUGGGAAUACCGGGUGCUGUAGGCU